AGUAGCCUAUCUGUGAGCGAAUUUCCUUAGCGCAGCCUUAGGACCCUGAGGAAAUCGGCAGGUAACUGCAGGAGAAGGUGCGCGUGGUGAUUUGUAUGCGCUGCCACUCGUAGCUCGCGUUAUAGUCCAUCUGAUAGCGGCUCUGCAUUCCCAGGUAGAACGGGAUUAGGUUUUUACUCCCGGGGACCUUUCUCAGUGCUCAGGCUUGGGCGCCUUCUUGUUGGUUUAUCUCACACCUGAACGCCUUUUCUCUUCUUUUCAUAAUUUCCUCUCUUUUUGGUGCCUAUGCAAGGACAUUUAACCGGAAAAAGAUACAUUUGCAAACGUUUUACAGAAAGGAGGGACCAGUAGUAAAUCAAACAAGCAUUGAACAACUAAACGAAGACGAAUAACGACGAAAAGAGGGAUCACUAAAGGGGAUGCUGGGCCAAUGAGAACCAUGUGGGUCAUGUGGUCAGUUGUUACGGCUCUCCUUGUCGCCAUGCUGCUCAGUAUCGUCCAUUCAGAGCUGCAGGAAGGAGCCCUCGUUCCAGGUUUCAUCUGUCUCGGUGUGGUUCAGGAGUGGGCGGAGGAUCAUCACUCAUAGGG
rnacentral:lncRNA from 1 species